GGGUUCGAUUCCGGAGAGGGAGCCUGAGAAACGGCUACCACAUCCAAGGAAGGCAGCAGGCGCGCAAAUUACCCAAUCCCGACACGGGGAGGUAGUGACAAUAAAUAACAAUACGGGGCUCUUUCGGGUCUCGUAAUUGGAAUGAGUACAAUUUAAAUCCCUUAACGAGGAACAAUUGGAGGGCAAGUCUGGUGCCAGCAGCCGCGGUAAUUCCAGCUCCAAUAGCGUAUAUUAAAGUUGUUGCAGUUAAAAAGCUCGUAGUUGAAUUUCGGGAUUGACACAUCGGUCGUGCCUUAAGGGGUAUGAACUGGUGUAGUCAAUUUCUCACCUUCUGGAGAACCGCGAUGCCCUUAAUUGGGUGUCGCGGGGAACCAGGACCUUUACUUUGAAAAAAUUAGAGUGUUUAAAGCAGGCAUUUUGCUUGAAUACAUUAGCAUGGAAUAAUAAAAUAGGACGGCAUGAUUCUAUUUUGUUGGUUUCUAGGAUCACCGUAAUGAUUAAUAGGGAUAGUUGGGGGCAUUAGUAUUCAAUUGUCAGAGGUGAAAUUCUUGGAUUUAUUGAAGACUAACUACUGCGAAAGCAUUUGCCAAGGAUGUUUUCAUUAAUCAAGAACGAAAGUUAGGGGAUCGAAGACGAUCAGAUACCGUCGUAGUCUUAACCAUAAACUAUG
rnacentral:rRNA from 1 species